CCUACGGGUGGCAGCAGUGGGGAAUAUUGGACAAUGGGGGGAACCCUGAUCCAGCCAUGCCGCGUGUGUGAAGAAGGCCCUCGGGUUGUAAAGCACUUUCAGUGAGGAAGAACGCCUGGUGGUUAAUACCCAUCAGGAAAGACAUCACUCACAGAAGAAGCACCGGCUAACUCCGUGCCAGCAGCCGCGGUAAUACGGAGGGUGCGAGCGUUAAUCGGAAUUACUGGGCGUAAAGCGCGCGUAGGUGGCUUGAUAAGCCGGUUGUGAAAGCCCCGGGCUCAACCUGGGAAUGGCAUCCGGAACUGUCAAGCUAGAGUGCAGGAGAGGAAGGUAGAAUUCCCGGUGUAGCGGUGAAAUGCGUAGAGAUCGGGAGGAAUACCAGUGGCGAAGGCGGCCUUCUGGACUGACACUGACACUGAGGUGCGAAAGCGUGGGUAGCAAACAGGAUUAGAUACCCUUGUAGUC
rnacentral:rRNA from 1 species